rnacentral:rRNA from 2 species
UAAGACUCUCGGCAAUGGAUAUCUUGGCUCUUGCAUCGAUGAAGAACGCAACGAAAUGCGAUACGUGGUGCGAAUUGCAGAAUCCCGUGAACCAUCGAAUUUUUGAACGCAAGUUGCGCCUGAGGCCAACUGGCCAAGGGCACGUCCGCCUGGGCGUCAUGC